CAAUGGGAAGAAGUGAGGCUGCCGCAGCAUGACCUAGCAAGGCAUGACCACAAGAAAAAUAGAACAGCUCAAGUCACAGACAAGCAGGCUGUAUGAGCACAUCUUGUUGAUCAGUCAGAGCUAGAUCAUGCUGGCAGCUUCACUCGUUCCCUUG
rnacentral:pre_miRNA from 1 species